GAAAAGCUACAUGGAGGAGGAAAGACAUGCCACUUUUCCAAAACAACGGUUUCAACUCAUUUUCUACAUCUCUCUACCUGUGCUUAUUAUUACUAUUGCCGUUUUAAUAAAACGGAAAAAAUUAAGAGAGCUAUGCUACAGAGGGGAAACUGAAAGUGAGAGCUCUGUGUCAGAAGAAAGCAGCAGUAGCAGCAAGUUAUCCCUCAGUGAAAGCACCAGCCUCUAA